rnacentral:rRNA from 1 species
GACGAACGCUGGCGGCGUGCUUAACACAUGCAAGUCGAACGGAAAGGCCCUGCUUUUGUGGGGUGCUCGAGUGGCGAACGGGUGAGUAACACGUGAGUAACCUGCCCUUGACUUUGGGAUAACUUCAGGAAACUGGGGCUAAUACCGGAUAGGAGCUCCUGCUGCAUGGUGGGGGUUGGAAAGUUUCGGCGGUUGGGGAUGGACUCGCGGCUUAUCAGCUUGUUGGUGGGGUAGUGGCUUACCAAGGCUUUGACGGGUAGCCGGCCUGAGAGGGUGACCGGCCAAAAUGGGACUGGGAUAACGCCCAGACUUCUAAGGGGGGGAGCAGUGGGGAAUAUUGCACAAUGGGCGGGAGCCUGAUGGAGCAACGCCGGGUGCGGGAAGACGGCCCUCGGGUUGUAAACCGCUUUCGCCUGUGACGAAGCGUGAGUGACGGUAAUGGGUAAAGAAGCACCGGCUAACUACGUG